rfam:Phoenicopterus ruber ruber contig30250, whole genome shotgun sequence.
AACUUGGAGCUUUUCAGCUCCACAGCUCUUAAACAUAAACCUCUUU